rnacentral:lncRNA from 1 species
GGAGCUUCCAUGGGUAGAGAGCAGCUGUCUCCCUGCCGCAAAUGUCUGCCUUCCAAUGUGUUGAGGGUAGCAGGGCAGUGUGACAGAGAUGUGAGCAAGUAGGUGGGGUCAGUAAGUGUAUCCCCACUCUCCAUUUUAGAAGGGCAAUAAGGGCAAUUUGUUGUUGUUUAGUCGUUUAUUCGUGUCCGACUCUUUGUGACCCCAUGGACCAGAGCACGCCAGGCACUCCUGUCUUCCACUGCCUCCCGCAGUUUCAUCAAACUCAUGUUGGUAGCUUUGAGAACACUGUCCAACCAUCUGGUCCUCUGUCGUCCCCUUCUCCUUGUCCCCUUCUUUCACAACAUCAGGGUCUUUUCCAGAGAGUCUUCUGUUCUCAUGAGGUGGCCAAAGUAUUGGAGCCUCAGCUUCAUGAUCUGUCCUUCCAGUGAGCACUCAGGGCUGAUUUCCUUCAGAAUGGAUAGGUUUGAUCUUCUUGCAGUCCAUGGGACUCUCAAGAGUCUCCUCCAGCACCAUAAUUCAAAAGCAUCAAUUCUUUGGCGAUCAGCCUUCUUUAUGGUCCAGUUUUCACUUCCAUACAUCACUACUGGGAAAACCAUAGCUUUAACUAGAGGACCUUUGUUGGCAAGGUGAUGUCUCUGCUUUUUAAGAUGCUGUCUAGGGCCAUAGCUCAAUUAAAAAAAAAAAAAAGUAUCUGUGUUUCAUGCAGAAAGCCCCAGCAUCAGUCCCUAGCAUCUCCAGAUAGAACUGGGAGAGAACUAUGUCUGAAAUCUUGGAGAGUCACUGCCAGAAGGUGUAAGACAAUACUGCGAUGGAUGGGCCAACAGCCUCACUUGGUAUAAGGCUGCUCCUAAUGUCUGAACAGAGCUUUUGUUGAGCAGUUUCCUGUCUGCCUUCUUGCAGUCUAACAAUGAAUCACUUUCACCUUGCUGGAAAAGUUCCAGCGGCUUUGUUUAACCAUGGCUCUAUGCUUAAGACUCACUUUUAGUUCUUCCGCGGCUCUGACGCAAUUAUCCAUGCAGUAGUAGGAAGAUUUAAGACAGUUUCCUGGAAUGACCUAUAGAUAACCCAACAGAGACAACUUCCACAGUGCACAGCUCAAAGAUCGCUCUUCCCUCCCUAUCCAGCCCACCAAAAAACCAGACCACCUCACACCCCAUAAUAUAUGACACCUUCUUUACUCUGCCUGCCUGGAGAGAUUUGUAAGCAUAAUUUGAUCUUCCCAUGAUGGUAUGAUGGCACACGUUGUUGAUCAUGAUGAAAUCUCAGGUUCCUUUUCUUGUCAUAAAUGUAACCUAUUCCCACCAUGCCAUCAUGGGGAUAUUAAAUUAUGCGUACACAUCUCUGUAGCCAGCCAAGGUUAAGAAUGAAUUGCAUAUCCUGUACGAUGGAGUUGCAAGGAGGUCUAGCUGUUUAGCUAGGGAAAGGGAGCAGGCAGAGUGAUCAUAACCUAUAUACUGCUGGAAUAUUUCUGUUCUUUUUCUUGGCUUAUAUUUAAGACACUUGCCUUUGUGUUUCAGCGCUAAGAGUAUGCCCAGUACUAAGAGCAGUGCUCUCUUUUUUCUAGAAAAAAAAAGGUGCAGGAACUCUCGCUUUUUCUGAGCUUUUCUUAGGGUGCCACCAAAGUUGCUGAGUUUUAUUUUAGGAUGCGCCGAAGUUGUCAAGCCACUGAAAACACAUACCUCCCUUAAGGAGAUUCUUUCCGAAGAGAAGAAGAAGAAGAAGAGUUUGGAUUUGAUAUCCUGCUUUAUCACUACCCGAAGGAGUCUCAAAGCGGCUAACUUUCUCCUUUCCCUUUCUUCCCCACAACAAACACUCUGUGAGGUGAGUGGGGCUGAGAGACUUCAAAGAAGCAUGACUAGCCCAAGGUCACCCAGCAGCUGCAUGUGGAGGAGCGGAGAUGCGAACCCAGUUCCCCAGAUUGCGAGUGCAGAAAAUGUGCAACACACCAACUCCUGCUCCAUCCAAAUUUCAGCACCCAGAAAACGCACUGCCUGCUGGAGCCCCCAGGAGAGGUGCCAGAACUAAGUUCCGAAGUGUUCUGGCUGGGGGAAAAGCCCUGACUAGGAGGCUAAGUGAACAUCUGCACUAUACAUUUAAAGCAAGAUCAUGCCACUUCAAACAGUCGCAAAGAAUCCUGGGAACCGUAGUUUGUUAAGGGUGCUGAGAGUUGCAUGGGAACUCCUGUUCCCCUCACAGAAAUCCCAUAGCCCUCUGGGAAAUACAGCUAUGUGAGGGGGAUAGUAAUUCCAAAUAAUUACUGCCGUUUUCUUUGGUCUGCUAUUGUUAUUACUGAAAUCUGUAGAACUGACUUUUCCAAUAAGGAGUAACAUAAAACACUAACAAGCAAAGUGCAUAAAUGCAUGCUGUCAAAUGUUAAGAUUUUAUCUCUGAUUCUUUCCCUUAGUUCGGAUUAGUCUCUUUGCCCUGCAGUACAUGAAAAACAAUCAGUGUUUGGGAAACGUAUUGAGCAUAUUCCUAACAUCUCUUUUGUCAUUGUAGCUAAAUACCUUGCAG